ACGGAAGGCAGCAGUGGGGAAUUUUGCGCAAUGGGGGGAACCCUGACGCAGCAACGCCGCGUGCGGGAUGAAGGCCUUCGGGUUGUAAACCGCUUUCAGCAGGGACGAUUAUGACGGUACCUGCAGAAGAAGCUCCGGCUAACUACGUGCCAGCAGCCGCGGUAAUACGUAGGGAGCGAGCGUUAUCCGGAUUCAUUGGGCGUAAAGCGCGCGUAGGCGGCUUGCUAAGCGGAACCUCUAAUCCGAGGGCUCAACCCCCGGCCGGGUUCCGAACUGGCAGGCUCGAGUGCGGUAGGGGCAAGUGGAAUUCCAUGUGUAGCGGUGGAAUGCGAAGAUAUAUGGAAGAACACCGAUGGCGAAGGCAGCUUGCUGGGCCGACACUGACGCUGAGGUGCGAAAGCGUGGGGAGCGAACAGGAUUAGAUACCCUGGUA
rnacentral:rRNA from 1 species